rnacentral:rRNA from 1 species
CUGCUGCCUUCCGUAGGAGUCUGGGCCGUGUCUCAGUCCCAAUGUGGCCGUCCACCCUCUCAGGCCGGCUACUGAUCGUCGCCUUAGUGGGCCGUUACCCCGCCAACAAGCUAAUCAGACGCGGGUCCAUCUUACACCACUAAUGUUUUUCACUCUGUCCCAUGCGGGACUGUGCGCUUAUGCGGUAUUAGCACCUAUUUCUAAGUGUUAUCCCCCUGUGUAAGGCAGGUUACCCACGCGUUACUCACCCGUCCGCCA